CUUGUCCUUAGUURCCAGCACGUUAUGGUGGGCACUCUAAGGAGACUGCCGGUGACAAACCGGAGGAAGGUGGGGAUGACGUCAAGUCAUCAAUGGCCCUUACGGCCUGGGCUACACACGUGCUACAAUGGUCGGUACAAAGGGUUGCCAAGCCGCGAGGUGGAGCUAAUCCCAUAAAACCGAUCGUAGUCCGGAUCGCASUCUGCA
rnacentral:rRNA from 1 species